UACGAAGGGGGCUAGCGUUGCUCGGAAUUACUGGGCGUAAAGCGCACGUAGGCGGCUUUCUAAGUCGGGGGUGAAAUCCUGGAGCUCAACUCCAGAACUGCCUUCGAUACUGGAGAGCUCGAGUCCGGGAGAGGUGAGUGGAACUGCGAGUGUAGAGGUGAAAUUCGUAGAUAUUCGCAAGAACACCAGUCGGCGAAGGCAGGCCUGCACUGGC
rnacentral:rRNA from 1 species